rnacentral:tmRNA from 1 species
GGGGCCGACCGGUUUCGACGGCGCAUGAACGUUGAAGUCGACGAUUCGAGAGGCGACUGCCGUAAGCAGAGCAUCAAGUAAUCGCCAACCAAGGCCGUUACCUGGAGCAAGCCUAGUCUUGCUUCGGAGUGGUCCCACAAGGGCCCCCAGCCCCUGCAACGUUGGAGCAGGCUCGGCAACAGAAAGGCUGGGACCUUAUGACACAUGUUCAAUGAACUAGAUUCAAG